ACAAGAGAAAACCAGUAGGUGAAAGUUAUGUCACAUCAGUAUGUUAUCAAGUGUCAUGCCUGGGGGAAAGCCUGGCUGUCUAUGCAGAGGCUCUGGAAGAGAAAUUAGGUUGCUGACUGGCUGGAGAUAAUUUGCUCUAUGUAAUUCUGAAGACAUCAUUUCAGUGAAGAUCUCUUCUUGUAAUUCUUCAAGACGUUUUUCUUUGAGGGGAUCAUGCUAACAAAAUGGAAAAAUGCUUCUGACAUCUAAAAGAGUAUCUUUGCCAUCCAUCCUUUUGUUGUAGCUAUUAAAAUGUGUAGAUGCAAAAUUCUGACUCCAAUUACAAUGUGUGUGGAGGGUUUCCACACCACUAAGCAAUUCUUGGACACCAGCUGGGUGUCAUAUACUUCAACUCAAUUCUGACACUAUCUACCUGGAGAUGGUGUCAGAUCCCACAGGUUAAGGGUUCAGUGAUACAAGACUGCACCCCGCCCCUUUCAGAUGCCAACUGCAAGUCCAGGUUGUCACCUGUGCUUCUGACGGACUGGCUAUAGAUCGGAGGUUCCAGUGACCGCUCCUUGGGUUUGAUUACUUCACUAGAAUGCUCAC